UUUAAUGAGAGUUUGAUCCUGGCUCAGGACGAACGCUGGCGGCGUGCCUAAUACAUGCAAGUAGAACGCUGAGGUUUGGUGUUUACACUAGACUGAUGAGUUGCGAACGGGUGAGUAACGCGUAGGUAACCUGCCUCAUAGCGGGGGAUAACUAUUGGAAACGAUAGCUAAUACCGCAUAAGAGUAAUUAACACAUGUUAGUUAUUUAAAAGGAGCAAUUGCUUCACUGUGAGAUGGACCUGCGUUGUAUUAGCUAGUUGGUGAGGUAAAGGCUCACCAAGGCGACGAUACAUAGCCGACCUGAGAGGGUGAUCGGCCACACUGGGACUGAGACACG
rnacentral:rRNA from 1 species